rnacentral:rRNA from 1 species
ACGCUCGACACCUACGGGAGGCAGCAGUGGGGAAUAUUGGGCAAUGGGCGAAAGCCUGACCCAGCAACGCCGCGUGAGGGAAGAAGGUUUUCGGAUUGUAAACCUCUGUCCUCAGGGACGAAGGACGUGACGGUACCUGAGGAGGAAGCCCCGGCUAACUACGUGUCAGCAGCCGCGGUAAUCUGAGCGGGCUGGCAAGGC